ACCGGAGCGAACCCGGCGGAGGGGCGCGGCGGUGGUCGGGGCCUCCAGCAGGCGAUGGCCAAGGGGAGGCUGAAGCGCUUGUUCAGCUCGAAAACAGAGAAAGCUGGGAGCGAAUCUGCUGCUCCUUGGGGGAGGUUUUAGAGAAAACGGAGCCAAACCCACAACACAAUGAAAAAGAAGCUCUAUGCUGUGCUCCCAUCUGCUCUAUCACCGAUUCUUUGACUUUACCCCUAUUCUUACUUUUCUAAAUCCAAGCACCAAGCAAACCCCUUUUACAGUUAGAAAAAAAAAAUCUGAAAAUGGAAACGAAAAUUAAACUAUUUUAACAUCCUAUUUAUUGAAUAAGAAGAUACAAAGCUCUGAUCCCCAGACAUUGAUGAGGUCAGUUGGUAGGAAGCUAUUUUCUUGCUCAUGUGCCAGUGCUUGCUUUCAGCCUAUGUAGUAUAAAAGACCUUACUUGGACUUCUUCCAGAUGGCCAAUUUUCUUUCUGUAUCUGUCACUUUUUCUCCUUUUCUAAACUUCCUCAGCACUGCACCACCAUCUGUAGCACAGCCCAGACAGCUGCAGUAUAAACACUGGAAAUGGCCUUACAGAGCAUGACCAGAAAAUCUGUGAGAGAGACAGAAAACUCAGCACCAACCAAGUAUGGUGGAGAUCCAUAAACUGCAGCAACUACUAGAAAUGAAGGAUUGAGAGAUGGACUGAGUGAAGAACAUAGCCGAGAAUAUCUUAAAUGAGGGGACUGUGGUGGAAAGAUUCUGUAUAGAUGCUCUGUGAUGUGACUCAGGAGAUCAUAUCCAGUAGAAAGCAUUAAAAGAAAAAGGCCCAAACUGCCUAUAACAAAAAAAUAUGGAGGUGUGUACAGCGAAGAAGCAAUUUCCCCAAAUCAAAACAUUCAAAAGCAACAAAAAUGCCAUAAAUAAUGUGCACAGUGACCUAGAGGAAGCACAUAACUGCUACUGCUAUGGAAACAUUGAAAACUAGUGUCCAUCUUCCUAGAUAGACACCUAAAAAAUCCUUUGCAUGAUAAUAUUUUUUGGAUUUCGAAGGCUUACGGAGACUUCUGUGUAGGUGGAUACUGAACUGGGCUGGUCACUCCAGGUCACAGGAUUCCAGUGCUUGAAUGAAUGCCAAUGUCUUAAUAGUGACUUAUCUAGAAUAUUUUACACCUUUGCAACACAGAAGAUGCUUCUUCCAACCUAAUA